rnacentral:rRNA from 1 species
GAUGAACGCUAGCGGGAGGCCUAAUACAUGCAAGUCGAGCGGUAGAGUGACUUCGGUUGCUUGAGAGCGGCGCACGGGUGAGUAACGCGUACAUGACCUACCUUUAAGACUGGGAUAGCCCUGGGAAACUGGGAUUAAUACCGGAUGUGAUAAUACGUAUAGAGAUGUAUUAUUAAAGUUGAGGCGCUUAGAGAUGGAUGUGCGUCUGAUUAGCUAGUUGGUAGGGUAACGGCCUACCAAGGCGACGAUCAGUAGGGGGCGUGAGAGCGUGGCCCCCCACACGGGUACUGAGACACGGACCCGACUCCUACGGGAGGCAGCAGUAAGGAAUAUUGGUCAAUGGACGGAAGUCUGAACCAGCCAUCCCGCGUGCAGGAUGACUGCCCUAUGGGUUGUAAACUGCUUUUAGCAGAGACGAAACGCCUUCAUUUUAUGAGGGUCUGACGGUAUCUGCAGAAUAAGCACCGGCUAACUCCGUGCCAGCAGCCGCGGU